rnacentral:rRNA from 1 species
ACUCCUACGGGAGGCAGCAGUGGGGAAUAUUGCACAAUGGGCGCAAGCCUGAUGCAGCCAUGCCGCGUGUAUGAAGAAGGCCUUCGGGUUGUAAAGUACUUUCAGCAGUGAGGAAGGUGGGUAUGUUAAUAGCAUAUUCAUUUGACGUUAGCUGCAGAAGAAGCACCGGCUAACUCCGUGCCAGCAGCCGCGGUAAUACGGAGGGUGCGAGCGUUAAUCGGAAUUACUGGGCGUAAAGCGCAUGCAGGUGGUUUGUUAAGUCAGAUGUGAAAGCCCGGGGCUCAACCUCGGAAUUGCAUUUGAAACUGGCAAACUAGAGUACUGUAGAGGGGGGUAGGAAUUUCAGGUGUAGCGGUGAAAUGCGUAGAGAUCUGAAGGAAUACCGGUGGCGAAGGCGGCCCCCUGGACAGAUACUGACACUCAGAUGCGAAAGCGUGGGGAGCAAACAGGAUUAGAUACCCUGGCAGGCUCUGC